rnacentral:rRNA from 1 species
CCCUUAGAUGUUCUGGGCCGCACGCGUGCUACACUGACCGGCGCAACAAGUUUCUUUCCUUGGCUCGAUAGGCCUGGGUAAUCUUUGAACGCCGGUCGUGAUGGGGAUAGAUCCUUGCAAUUUUUGAUCUUCAACGAGGAAUUCCUAGUAAAUGCGAGUCAUCAUCUCGCGUUGAUUACGUCCCUGCCCUUUGUACACACCGCCCGUCGCACCUACCGAUUGAAUGGUCCGGUGAAAUCUUCGGAUCUGAGAGAUGUCUGAUUAAUUUCGGACGCCUUUUGGAAAAGUUGUUUAAACCUUACCAUUUAGAGGAAGGUGAAGUCGUAACA